AGAGUUUGAUCAUGGCUCAGAGCGAACGCUGGCGGCAGGCUUAACACAUGCAAGUCGAGCGGGCGUAGCAAUACGUCAGCGGCAGACGGGUGAGUAACGCGUGGGAACGUACCUUUUGGUUCGGAACAACACAGGGAAACUUGUGCUAAUACCGGAUAAGCCCUUACGGGGAAAGAUUUAUCGCCGAAAGAUCGGCCCGCGUCUGAUUAGCUAGUUGGUGAGGUAAUGGCUCACCAAGGCGACGAUCAGUAGCUGGUCUGAGAGGAUGAUCAGCCACAUUGGGACUGAGACACGGCCCAAACUCCUACGGGAGGCAGCAGUGGGGAAUAUUGGACAAUGGGCGCAAGCCUGAUCCAGCCAUGCCGCGUGAGUGAUGAAGGCCCUAGGGUUGUAAAGCUCUUUUGUGCGGGAAGAUAAUGACGGUACCGCAAGAAUAAGCCCCGGCUAACUUCGUGCCAGCAGCCGCGGUAAUACGAAGGGGGCUAGCGUUGCUCGGAAUCACUGGGCGUAAAGGGCGUAGGCGGGUCUUUAAGUCAGGGGUNNAAAUCCCUGGAGCUCAACUCCAGAACUGCCUUUGAUACUGAGGAUCUUGAGUUCGGGGAGAGGUGAGUGGAACUGCGAGUGUAGAGGUGAAAUUCGUAGAUAUUCGCAAGAACACCAGUGGCGAAGGCGGCUCACUGGCCCGAUACUGACGCUGAGGCACGAAAGCGUGGGGAGCAAACAGGAUUAGAUACCCUAGUAGUCC
rnacentral:rRNA from 1 species